rnacentral:rRNA from 1 species
CCUACGGGAGUCAGCAGUGGGGAAUAUUGCGCAAUGGGCGAAAGCCUGACGCAGCGACGCCGCGUGAGGGAUGAAGGUCCUCCGAUCGUACACCUCUGUCAGCAGCGACGAACGGUCACUGUGCUAAUCAGCAGUGAAUUGACGGUACCUGCAAAUGAAGCAUCGGCGAACUCCGUGCCAGCAGCCGCGGUAAUACGGAGGGUGAGUGCGUUGAUCGGAAUUACUGGGCGUAAAGCGCUCGUAGGCGGUAUGUCAAGUCAAGGGUGAAAUCCCCGCGCUCAACGUGGGAACUGCCUUUGAAACUGGCAAACUGGAGUGUGUGAGAGGAUGGUGGAAUUCCAGGUGUAGGAGUGAAAUCCGUAGAUAUCUGGAGGAACAUCAGUGGCGAAGGCGACUAUCUGGCACAUAACUGACGCUGAGGAGCGAAAGCGUGGGUAGCAAACAGGAUUAGAUACCCUUGUAGUC